UAGUUUUGUAAAAUGCCCACCAACGA
rnacentral:sRNA from 1 species